UGAAUUCCUGUUCUUAAAAAAAUAUAUAUUUAUAUUUUAAAUUCCAGUAUAAUUAACACACAGUUUGAAUUCCUGUUUCUUUGACUCACUUGGAGUUUCAACCAGCACAGGAAUAUUGGUAAGCCCAUCGUUAUGGCUUGCUGUGGCUUUAACUGUAUAAAGGCCGAUGGGUGUCAUUAAUUACUGUGUUCAUCGUCAACUCUCCGUAAUCUUUUGAUUAAUGGGGAGGGAAUAUGAAGACAUCCGGCGUCUAUGCACACCGGAAAGUGCACGUCGAGAGAGGGGAACACGACGGGAAGGUCAGAAGCAGGGGCAGCAACAAAACAACAAAACCCGCGGGUCCUUCCUCAGGGGGACUUGGCCUUUCUUCACUUGAUCAGUCCUGGGUCUGGGAACCUGCUCAGGGAUGGAAACUAAAGGAUCAUGAUUUUUCCACUGCAGCAACUGACAGUAGUCUACUGCUCAGAGCUUUUGCCAGCACCACCAUGUGGACUCACAGAAUGCCUGAUUCAUCACCAUGGUAUCCCACCCAACACUGCUUCCAACAAAGGAACUCAGCUUAGCUUGAAGGAAGUGUGGCGAUGGGCUCAUCACCAUGGAAUUCAUUCGUCUUAUCAUAUGUUUCACCACCUAGGAAUACCUGGCUUGACAGAAUGGUGAAAUUUCCUGUGGAAGGCUCAGUUAUGGUGCCAUAGCCUGCAAGUUUGGGGGCUGUCCUACAGAGCCUAGUAUAUACUUUAAACCAGAGGCCAAUAUAUCAUAUCAUCUCCUUUGUAGCCAGAAUGUAUGGGUCCAGGAUUCGAUAGGUGGAGGUGGGAUUGACCCCUCUCCCUGAAGAAAUAUUUACUUCCCAUCCCUACAUCUUGGACUCAGUGGGUUAAGAGGUUCUAAUGCUGGAGGAAGAGAUGCUUCCACCAGAGGAUGCCUGAGGAUUCUGAUGUUUUGGAAACUGACACUGCCUUCUGGCCAUUUUGUGUUCUUCAUGCUGCUUAACUAACAGGCAGACAAUGGGUUCAUUGUAUAGACCAGGGUGGUCCAUCGUGAUCACCAAAGGCGGAUUAGAUUGUUACUAUACAAUAGCAAGGAGGACUAUGUCUAGCACCCACGGACUUCGCUGGGGUGACUCUUAUCACUCCCUUGCUCAAUAGUACCAGUCAACGAAAACUGGUAACCCAGUCAAGGUAAGAUUAUAAGGACUCAGAUCCUGUGGGGAUGAAGGUUUAGGCCACUCCACCAGGGAACGUAUCCUGUGCUACUGAGAUGCUGAUGGAAGGUAAGGGAAACGUGGAGUGGGUGGCAGAAAAAUUGAAGCAACGAUUAUCAACUUAGUGCCUCCUUCCAGCUACAGAAGCAGGAACUAUAACAACUAUGUUUUAUGUUUAGAGCCCCCUUU